CGUGUUCGCCGAGCCCGGCUGCCCCUGACCCGGAAGCGGAAAGCGGGGCCUGGCGCGGGCUGCUCUGGGUAAUCUCCGGCUGCGGCUUGGCGGUUGCUUGGUAACCGCGCCCCUCCAUGGCUGUAGCCCAGGGACCAAAGACGCUCUGGGAGCAAAUCUGUGCUGAGUACGAUGCAGAGCAGCCUCCAUUUCCGUAUAGUCCUGAAUCAAAACAAGAUUCUGUUUCUUUGGAUACAGGAAUUUUGCAGCCUUUACAUACAAAACAAUUAUACUCCUCUUCUACUGAAUGUUCCAUUGCCCCAAAAAUAUCUUCCUUACCCACGCUCGCACCGCUUCCAGCAGCACCUAAUCCAAAAACAUGUUCUCCUCGAGAAUAUUUGGAAUAUUACAUAUUUCCAAUACUUCUGCCGGGAAUGGCUGAACUUCUGCAUCAAGCAAAGAAGGAAAAGUGUUUUGAGAGAAAAAGGACCAAAUUUAUCGCCUGUGAUUUUCUGACUGAGUGGUUAUACAACCAGAAUCCAAAGAGGAAAGACGAGCCAUUCACAGAAUUCUUCUCCAUCCCUUUUGUGAAGGACUGGCUAAAGGACCACCCUAGACCACCAAUUCCUCUGUCUCUCCUAUUAUCAGAAGAAGAAGCAUGCAAAAUAAUUCAAUCAUUCUGGAGAGGUUAUCGGGUCCGCUGUGACACUGAGGUACAAGAACUGCGGCAAUGGCAAAAGCAACUGAGAGAGGACAAGAACAUUAUUAAAAGAGUGCAAGAGUUCUGGACUAAACAGGAAACCAAAGUCAUUAUGGUACACAUUGAUUGUCUUGAAAAUCCUUCAGAGGUGUACUUAAGAUAUCAGUAUGCAACAACCAGCGGGAAAAAAGGUAUCCUUCAGUCUGCACGCACUAAGGGAUUGCUCUCCCAAAGCAAAUCAAGAAAAAUUAUGAGGACUUCUUGAAAUCAGAAAGAACAGAAAUUAUGCACAAUGGCAAAGAGUCAUUCUGCAGCGCAAGCAAUAGCGGGAGAUGGCAAAGUCCAGAGCAGAACUGCAGGGAGGAUGUGAAGAAGGUCGACGCUGAAGGAGAAGCAGGGCAGCACAAAGGCUACGGUAUAAUUGAGACUCCAUGUUCCCGAUCAAAUUGGUGGUGUUCAAGGUACAAUCAAACAAGGCCAACUCCCACCAGUUGAAUGCAGCAAGAAGAUAAUCGUUUACUUGUUAUUUAUUCUGACUCUCAAAGUAUAAAGUGUUCUGUUUUAUGGUCUUGUUUAUAGCACUCUGUAGUUGUAGGUUUAGCAAAUGACCCAGAAGACUAGCCCUGCAGCUGAGCUUCGAGAUGCACGGUGUCCGAGCAGCAGUACUAGAGAGGGGAAAAAAGGAUAGAAAAGAUUAAGAAGAGCCAUUGAAACCAAUGAAUGACAUAGCAAUUCAAAGUUCAGUGCUGGCACAAUCACAGCACUACCUUAGGCUGUAUAUAAAACCACAAGCAUAGCUGUAGCCCAGCACAGGUGUAUAGGUAAAAAGUGAUCAAUAGUAACUGGGUUUUAAAAAAAAAAUAGAAACCAACAUCAUUAGCUCUGUGGUAAAUUUCAGUACAAAGUAAUAGCCAGCUGAACCCUGACAGGUGCUGAGUAUCUGCUGAAAACUCUCAUAGGAAUCAAUGAGAAUUGCAAGUGCUCUACAACUGUGCAUUGGCAACUGUAAUGUUGACACCAGGAGGCUAUUAGUAUUGUUGACAGCCCAAUUGGCUGGGCUGCCUGCGGUAGCUACUUUAUCCUGCACUGAAAUAUAUCAUACAGUAUUAGGUAUUGCAGUUGCUGCCCUCCUAUAAUGCACAUGGACGUGGCUCAGAUGACGAGAAGGAAACCAGGCUAUGUCACAAGCUCUGUAUUGUUGUGGUUGGAUGAAGCAUCGUGGAGGCUGGUGAGUGAGCGCUGCUGCCUGGGAGAAGGCUCCUUUACAGUAGCUCCCACCAGCCCACCACAAAAUUAGUACCGUGUGGGUGGAGGGCUUUGCUGGGUAUUGUUUGAUCAGAGGGGGGCUGUGUGUAAGAGAAGCAGGAGACAUGGCACAGAGAGAGAGGGACUGAGGGCUUGUCUACCCAGAGGUGCAGUGAGCACCGCAGGGGUGUGAUUUCUAAAACCUACUGAUAUGCUGCGCAUUAGUUGGCCCGUGUAGACCCUGCUGGUGUGCACUAAAGGUUUCCUUGGGCACUUUAAUGUGGUGCUGUUUGAACCAGCACUGCAUUCAAGUAUGCCACUGGGGUCUACACAGACCAAUUAAUGAGCAACAUGUUGGUGUGCUUUAGAAAUCCCACGCUCAUGGGGCGCUUUACCCCACCAUGUAGCCAAGGCCGGAGAGAAGCAGAAAGCAAGCCGAGCAGAUGCAGCCUGGAAACAUGGCAUGUGGCCCUUGGAGAAGC